GCCGACAUGGUGAAAUUGGUAGACACGCCAUCUUGAGGGGGUGGUGACCUAUGGGUCGUGCGAGUUCAAUUCUCGCUGUCGGCA
rnacentral:tRNA from 1 species